UAAUAUAGAAAGUCCGUAUUAGCCUGACAUUUAAUUCUUCCAAGAUAACUAACCAGAGUUCUUAUAUUAUAAAUUUAUUGAACAAAUUCUUUGCAAUCUAAAAAAAAAUUUGAUUUUCGCAGUUCUUGCUUUCUUACCAUCUCCUUCCCACCUCUACAAUUUGUUGUAUAAUAGAAAAUAAAGCCGCAGUGCUGUACCUUGAAACUGAAGAUUUAUCUUUUACUUAUUACGUACCCGCAAUUCUAUAAUUCGCUCG